rnacentral:tRNA from 1 species
AGUCAUUAAGUUAAAACAUUUGUUUUGAAAACAACCGAAGGGCUUAAAGCUCAAUGGCUU